GUUCUUGUAGUUGAAUUACAACAAUAGUUUUUCAGAUUAUUAGUCCAGGUUGAAGUCCUGGUAGGAAUA
rnacentral:tRNA from 1 species